GGUUUUCCAUGGUGUUGGCUGGAUGAUCUGGAUGCCAGCAGAACUUCUCAGGAAGGUGUGAGGAGACCCGGGCCAGACAAUGGAGAUGCCUGAUUGGCUGGUGAAAAUUUCCACACAGGAGCAUUUCGUGGUCCUGCAAAGAAAGAGAUCAGGUGCUUAAAGAUAAAACUUUCAUCAGGGCCUGUCAGCUGGGAAUUGAUUUCUGGUCUCAUCACCAC
rnacentral:lncRNA from 1 species